AACGCACGAGACCUGCGGACCUGCGGAAGGAUCAUUAGAUAAGUGGCCCUUGGGGCCGCAAGGGAUACGGGAACCCUAAAAGCCGUGACUACCUUGUUUUUUUAGAACCCCUGUUUCCUCGGUGGGCUAGCCCACCGAUAGGGACACUAUUACAAACCCUCUGUAUAAAGCAGUUCUGUCUGAUACUAAAAUAAUCUUCAAAACUUUCAACAACGGAUCUCUAGAUCGGAAGAGCACACG
rnacentral:misc_RNA from 1 species